UACGUAGGGGGCAAGCGUUGUCCGGAAUCAUUGGGCGUAAAGCGCGCGUAGGCGGCCCUGUAAGUCCGUUGUGAAAGUCGAAGGCUCAACCUUCGAAAGCCGAUGGAUACUGCAGGGCUAGAGUCCGGAAGAGGCGAGUGGAAUUCCUGGUGUAGCGGUGGAAUGCGCAGAUAUCAGGAGGAACACCAAUGGCGAAGGCAGCUCGCUGGGACGUUACUGACGCUGAGACGCGAAAGCGUGGGGAGCAAACAGG
rnacentral:rRNA from 1 species